GGAGGGGUUCCCGAGCGGCCAAAGGGAUCAGCCUGUAAAUCUGACGACUACGACUACGAAGGUUCGAAUCCUUCCCCCUCCACCA
rnacentral:tRNA from 1 species